UACAGAGGGGGCAAGCGUUGUUCGGAAUUACUGGGCGUAAAGGGCGCGUAGGCGGCCUUCUAAGUCGAACGUGAAAUCCCCGGGCUCAACCUGGGAACUGCGUCCGAUACUGGCGGGCUUGAAUCCGGGAGAGGGAUGCGGAAUUCCAGGUGUAGCGGUGAAAUGCGUAGAUAUCUGGAGGAACACCGGUGGCGAAGGCGGCAUCCUGGACCGGCAUUGACGCUGAGGCGCGAAAGCCAGGGGAGCAAACGGG
rnacentral:rRNA from 1 species